ensembl:rRNA Gm24772 predicted gene, 24772
AUCUAUGCCCACACAACUCUGAAGGUACCUGAUCUCCUCUGAUUUCAGAAAGAGGGCAGGGUCAGGCAUGAUUAGUUCUUAUAUUGGAGGACAGAUUUGGGACAGAGACA